GGGUGCGAUCAUACCAGCGCUAAUGCACCGGAUCCCAUCAGAACUCCGCAGUUAAGCGUGCUUGGGCGAGAGUAGUACUAGGAUGGGUGACCUCCUGGGAAGUCCUCGUGUUGCACUCG
rnacentral:rRNA from 1 species